UUUUAGUCUGUUCAGAGGAACCUGUCCCGUAAUCGAUAUUCCACGUUAAACCUUACUUAUUUUUGUUAUCAGCUUGUAUACCGCCGUCGUCAGAAUGUCCUAAGAAGGGUUUAAUUUUCUUAAAUUUUUAUUAAAAAUGAUGUCAGGUCAAGGUGUAGCUUACGAAUAAGUGGUGAUGGGUUACAAUAAAUUUAUUUAUAACGGAUAAAGUUUUGAAAUAUUCUUUUGAAGGUGGAUUUGACGGUAAUUAACUUAAUUAAAUUAAUUUGAUUUUAGCUCUAAAACAUGCACACAUCGCCCGUCGCUCUCGUUAAUUAAGGCGAGAUAAGUC
rnacentral:rRNA from 1 species